CCGUGCUAGGCGGGGAGCUCGCGGUUCCCUGUACCGGAAAAUCCGCUUAGCCGGGCACAACCCCCUCCCUCGGGGGCGACGAGAGGUACGGGGCUCCCACCCGGAGCGUCGAUGGUCAGGUCCCGCGCGAUCGGCAUUCUUGAACCGUGUCAGGUCCGGAAGGAAGCAGCACUCAGAGAGCCAGCCGGUGCGCCGCGGUCGCGCCUGAUCGGAGCGACGGGACGGGGAACCGGACCGCCUCCCGCCCACAACGGAGGGUGCACGG
rnacentral:SRP_RNA from 1 species